rfam:Ordospora colligata OC4 contig_04, whole genome shotgun sequence.
GCCCGGCUAGCUCAGUCGGUAGAGCAUUAGACUCUUAAUCUAAGGGUCGCGGGUUCGAGCCCCGCGCUGGGCG